rnacentral:rRNA from 1 species
CAGCCGCCGCGGUAAUACGAAGGGACCUAGCGUAGUUCGGAAUUACUGGGCUUAAAGAGCACGUAGGUGGUUAAGAAAGUUGGUGGUGAAAUCCCAAGGCUUAACCUUGGAACUGCCACCAAAACUUUUUAACUAGAGUAUGAUUGAGGUAAGCGGAAUUUCUAGUGUAGAGGUGAAAUUCGUAGAUAUUAGAAAGAACACCAAUUGCGAAGGCAGCUUUCUGGAUCAUUACUGACACUGAGGUGCGAAAGCAUGGGUAGCGAAGAGGAUUAGAUACCCUCGUAGUCCAUGCCGUAAACGAUGUGUGCUAGACGUUGGGAAUUUAUUUUUCAGUGUCGCAGCAAAAGCGUUAAGCACACCGCCUGGGGAGUACGACCGCAAGGUUAAAACUCAAAUGAAUUGACGGGGACCCGCACAAGUAGUGGAGCAUGUGGUUUAAUUCGAGGAUACGCGCAGAACCUUACCAACACUUGACAUGUUCGUCGCGACUCUAAGAGAUUAGAGUUUUCGGUUCGGCCGGACGAAACACAGGUGCUGCAUGGCUGUCGUCAGCUCGUGUCGUGAGAUGUUGGGUUAAGUCCCGCAACGAGCGCAACCCUUACUUUUAGUUGCCAUCAUUUAGUUGGGCACUCUGAAAGAACUGCCAGUGAUAAGCUGGAGGAAGGUGGGGAUGACGUCAAGUCCUCAUGGCCCUUACGUGUUGGGCUACACACGUGCUACAAUGGCAUUUACAAUAGGAAGCAAGGCGGCGACGUCAAGCAAAUCCUAAAAGAAUGCCUCAGUUCGGAUUGCACUCUGCAACUCGAGUGCAUGAAGCUGGAAUUACUAGUAAUCGUGGAUCAGCGUGCCACGGUGAAUACGUUCCCGGGUCUUGUACACACCGCCCGU